rnacentral:rRNA from 1 species
AUGUGCCUUCGCCACUCCCUCUCUCCAGCAGAGUUGGAAGAUUGGCAACGCCUUGUUGCUCUCUUCCCUUCACUCUCGGAGGAGGAAGACACGGUUGUCUGGCCCCACUCCCCCUCUGCGCGUUUCUCGGUUAAAUCCCUUUACAGUAAGCUCAUUGAUGGGUCCCCCACCUCCAAAUUCAAAUGGAUCUGGAGGGCUCAUAUCCCUCUUAAGAUCAAGGUUUUCCUCUGGCAAGCCUCCCGUGGGCGUCUACCGACGGGUGACCAAAUCCGCAAAUGUAAUGGCCCAGGUUCUGAUAGGUGUGCUCUAUGUGGUUUGAGAGAAGAUGCUUCUCACAUGUUCUUCAACUGUGUUUUGGCUAAUCUGUUUUGGUGUUGUAUUCGAUCCUGGUUGCAUGUCUCUUGGGCUCCGACAUCCUUUUCUGAUCUGCGCAUCUUGGUUAGCUCGUUGGUUGGGGCCCAGAGGCGAUUGUUUUGGGUGGGCUUCGCAGCCAUAUGCUGGUCUCUGUGGACGACGAGGAAUAAGUUUACCAUCAAGCAUGUUUUCCCUGCUAAGCCUUUUGAUUGCUUAUUUAAAACAUGUAUAUUCCUGCAGCAAUGGAGAUCAUUGGCUAAGGAGGAAGACAUGGACGCCCUCGACGCCAUGUUGGCCAAGAUCCGGAACUCUGCUAUCUCCAUCUCCCCAGUUCAAGCAGACACCUAG